UAGGGAAUCUUCCACAAUGGACGAAAGUCUGAUGGAGCAACGCCGCGUGAGUGAAGAAGGGUUUCGGCUCGUAAAACUCUGUUGUUAAAGAAGAACAUAUCUGAGAGUAACUGUUCAGGUAUUGACGGUAUUUAACCAGAAAGCCACGGCUAACUACGUCNCG
rnacentral:rRNA from 1 species